ACGAGGAACUCCAAAUGUUCCAGCAGCAGCUGGCGGGAGAGGCAAAAGGAACACCGUGUUUCAAGAACACCUUCAAUUCCGGGCCUCAAGUUCACCAAAUGCAAAACCAAGUCUGAAUCCCUUCAAUUCAGUUCCCAGCCAAAGAAGAUGCAGCUGGUCGUCAGUCCGUGACAUGCUGACCUGCCCCAGCCCCUCGGCGAUGGCGCCGAGGGAGGCUCUUUGACUGGAAUGUGAACAAUGGUGGAGAAUGGCCGACUUCGCAUGUAACCAGGCUGUGGCCCGCUCAGGCUUCAAUGAUCUAAGAUGACUCCUAACUUCUGCUUAUCUGCUUGAAUAUUAGUGUGCUCUUCCACCUACUACAGCUAGGCAUCGUGGGUGUCCUCAGUGCGUGGGCUCUAUCAGAGCCUAGUCCUGGGGGCCUGGGCAGCUUGCCUGGAGUGACCCGCAGAACCUGGGAGCUGAGGCCGCGGCAAGCCUGGGCGGGGGGGACCUGGGCACGUCCUCCCCCCACCCCUGCCCCACGCACACCCUGAGCUCCCUGGCACCACAACUCUCAGAAGACCAAUCAGGAAGCACUGGGCUCCCACCGCGGGGCAGGGUGCUGGGUGUGCACCCAGAAGGAAGGCGCGAGACCCUGGAAAGAACAUAGUGCGACUCUAAUAAAGGUCGUAGUGUUCUUACGGAAA